CAAAUCUGAAGAGUCCCAGCAUAGGACGAAACAACUGUCCAGUGC
rnacentral:hammerhead_ribozyme from 1 species